UUCUUGAGCAUCCAAGAUGCCAAAGGAAGAGCAAGAAGAUUCCGUGCAACAAAAACUCUAUCUGGGUUCGACAGAUUAAUUACCCUGAAACAAUUCAAUGAUCCUACUAGUGG